rnacentral:rRNA from 1 species
AUUGAACGCUGGCGGCAGGCCUAACACAUGCAAGUCGAACGAGUGGCGGACGGGUGAGUAAUGUCUGGGAAACUGCCUGAUGGAGGGGGAUAACUACGGGAAACGGUAGCUAAUACCGCAUACCAUCAGAUGUGACAAGAUGGGAUUAGCUAGUAGGUGGGGUAAUGGCUCACCUAGGCGACGAUCCAUAGCUGGUCUGAGAGGAUGAUCAGCCACACUGGAACUGAGACACGGUCCAGACUCCUACGGGAGGCAGCAGUGGGGAAUAUUGCGCAAUGGGCGCAAGCCUGAUGCAGCCAUGCCGCGUGUGUGAAGAAGGCCUUCGGGUUGUAAAGCACUGUCAGCGAGGAGGCGUUACUCGCAGAAGAAGCACCGGCUAACUCCGUGCCAGCAGCCGCGGUAAUUA